rnacentral:miRNA from 1 species
UGCUCAAAUACCACUCUCCU